CCUACGGGGGGCAGCAGUGAGGAAUAUUGGUCAAUGGGCGCGAGCCUGAACCAGCCAAGUAGCGUGAAGGAUGAAGGCCCAACGGGUUGUAAACUUCUUUUAUAAAGGAAUAAAGUGAGGCACGUGUGCCUGGUUGUAUGUACUUUAUGAAUAAGGAUCGGCUAACUCCGUGCCAGCAGCCGCGGUAAUACGGAGGAUCCGAGCGUUAUCCGGAUUUAGGGGGUUUAAAGGGAGCGUAGAGGGGUUGUUAAGUCAGUGGUGAAAGUUUGCGGCUCAACCGUAAAAGUGCAAUUGAUACGGGCAGCCUUGCGUACAGUUGAGGUAGGCGGAAUUCGUGGUGUAGCGG
rnacentral:rRNA from 1 species